AAAAACACUUAAAAGGCUCUAAAACUUGAGGCGACCAAAAACUCCCAAAAAUCACCAUUCCAUUGAAUUUUUUGGUUGAGGUUUUCAGAAGUUCCUAGAGUCGUUUUCGAGUUUAAUUUGGGUUCAUUCGAGUUGGUUUUUUUUGGGUGAAUAUUGUUGAUAUUCAUUUGAAACUAAUUAUUGGGCUGUUUGGUUUCAUUUCUGGGUUUCAAGUUGGUUCAAAGAUGUUGGUGAUUGUUAUUGACUGCUG
rnacentral:lncRNA from 1 species